CCAGUACUUUUUUAGUAGUAAAACUAGCAGAAGAGAGAACAGUUCGAAAUGUCAUUCUCAUUUAGGUUUGCUCAAAAAAUAAGGGAACGGAAAAUUAGCAGAAAUGCGAUAAAAUGUCAAAAUUCAAAAUUCCAAAAGUAAACAGCCUAAAUCGGACUGGUGAAACCUUACUGAAAAGAGCGCCAACAUUUAAAAAAUGAGUAUUGAAGACGAUAGGUUAAAAUUAAUAAUUUAUAAUAAUAAUUACUAAUCUGAUUCCUCAUUCAGCCAGUCCUCUUCACUGCUGGAAUCAUCCAAAAGUGAAUACAUCAGUUACUCCAUAUUUUCUCUUUUUGUUUUUUGCACGACAAAUAUUAGUUUUUCCUUUAGUUUUCAAGUUGAUCAUUUUCUUUAUUGAAAUGUAUCAAUACAUUUUUCAACCUUGUUAGCCCUGCCAAUUAAAUGUCAAAUUUACAAUAUGCACAUUUCUGCUCGGCCAAAUUCAUGUAGCUAAAACAAGCAGAAAUGUGCACCACUCAGCGCCAUUUUUUUCUCGAGAGAGCGGCAAGUUUUGCUAGUUUUUGGAGUACGGGAACGCGUUGUAGCAGAAUUAGUGCUAAUUAGUACUAAUUUGCAGGUUCUGGAACACAACUUUCUAUGCUUUCAAAUGUAUUGUAUACACAACUUCGUACAACCGGGCCACAAACAAUACAAUCUUGAAUACAACCUCUCCAAGCUGUACAACCAGUUGCUUCGUAUGUGGCUUGCUUUAUGGAAAAAGUUGUGUGUGUGUAACUUCGGCAAAAACUAAAAGCUGAAGUUAGUUGACGAAUAUUUAGUCCGUACCAGAAUUGCAAGAAUAUAAUAGUUUUGCUACGAUUCCCUUUAUGAUGUCGGAAAAAUUGCAAAACUAGUAGAUUCUUGCAGGUUCUGGAACAGAAAAAUGUUAAUGCUUAAGUCAUGUCCUGACGAAAUUAAAAUAAUGGAUACGAGGAAUCACUAUCCGAGUCGAUUUAAGGAUAUCUGUCCGUCCAUCUAUCUGCCCACGCAUUUUGUGGACAAAGUACAGGUCGCAUUUAUUGCCCGUCAUUCAUUUAUUUGGCCCAAGGACGAACGCUAUUGAAAUUGGUGAAAUCGGAUCAGAUUUAGAUGUAGACUUCAGUGGUAUCUUUAUUCGUUUUCAGGUUUAUAGUGCACCAAAUGUGUAAUAUUAGCCGAAGUGAAAUUAAAAGAAGUAUAAGUCGCUUUUCCCGAAAGUUGAAUACCCUCAGACUAUGUCUUUUCAUUAAAAUAUUUUUUGACAUGAUUUAUGAUCAUUCAAAAUGAUACCCCAUUAUGGGAGAGGGGGUGAGUUCCAAAGGAGUGGGCCAAUAUUGUAUAUUUUGUGUCUGACCUAAGUCUGAUAUAAAUAUCACAACCAGAUUUGGACCAUAUCGACUACUUCCUUCACUUUAUGUAUGUGAUAAUAAGAUGUCACAAUUUUUGAAGAAGGUUGAAAUGUGUGUGUGGACCGAAGAUGACCGAAGUAUUCAUCUUAUGCUGAUAAAAAUAUUGGAAUGUGUGAAAGUUGAAGAGAAUCGGAUACUUAUUUCGCAUUUUAAGAGCGUUUCGCUAUUCAAAAUGUAGACCCUUAAAGGUGGAGGUACCACCUCCGAACUCGAUCUAUAUUUUAUAAUAAUAUGACUAUAUACCAAGUUUGGACCAAAUCGGAUACUCUAUUCAAAAGUUAUCUUGCGCACAAAUCAACCAAAUAUACAUUUUUAGAGAUGGGCAAUAUCGACCCACUCCUUCUGGAAGAAAACGGGUUAUGUGAUUUGGUUAGAACUUUGCAAAUCCUAAUAUUUGCAUUACCGCAACGUUUGGUGCGAGAGGGGAUAAGAUGGGACCACUCCUUCUAGUACAUCCCCCACAAAAGGUCCAAAUUUGGAAUAUUUAAAACACUCAUAAAAUGCGAAAUGUGCCUCACAUUCUCUUUAAAUUUCACACCUAAUAAUAUUUUAACCAUUACAAGAUAUGGUGUGAAGAUGGAUAUAGGGAACUACUACUUCUGGUAACUCCCCCACAGUGGGUCAAAAUUUUGAAUGAUAAAUCGCUCAUAAAAUGCGAAGUAAGCAUCAUCCAAUUACUUUCAAACUUCGUACAUCUUAAUAUUUCUACAAAAAGAUCUUGUGUGAAGAUGGGAUAUAUCGGCCCACUCCUUCUUGUGCCUCCCCCACAAAGGUCAGGAUUUGGAGUAUCUAAACCGCUUAUAAAAUUCGAAAUGUUCAUCGCAUUGUCCUUAAAUUAACCAUUAAAAGAUAUGGUGUGAAAAUUGGAUAUACCGGUUCACACUUUUUGGUACCUUCGCUCAAAAAUGGGAAGAAAGUAUCCGAUUAUUUUCAAACUUCGCAUAUCCCAAUAUUUCUAUCAACCAAGUUCAGAUGUGAAUAUGAAAUAUAUCGGCCCACUCCUUCUAAUACCUCCCCCUACGAAGGGACUAUAUAUAUAGACAAUAGGACUCUUAUCUCACAUUUUGAAAAUAUAGUCCCUUCGUAGGUGGAGGUAUUAGAAGGAUCAACAAACUGAAACAUCAAAUGAAGGCAUAAUAACUGAAGUUGAAAGCGAAACAUUUGUUGAAAUAGCCAUAUAGUGGAGAAGCUUCCAAUGAACCGAAAUAAAUAAAAUCUAUUAAUAUGUCAUUAUCACAGUCAUUUGAUAUGAAGGGUACGGGUCUACCAUAGCAACUAUUAUUGAUACAAAAUUGUGAGUCAAAUGAAGUAUUUCUGUCUCAACGUAAGUUCAACGAAUUGGUGCUUGAUAGUUUUAGUAUAUUUUAGUAAUUUAGUAUAUUUUAGUAAUUUUAUAUAGUGCCCGAACACGGAUAUUCAUUACUUUGUACGCAAUUGAAAUAACGAAAUAUCCCUUGAAUAUUUAUCAACCGAUAACAUGUCUGCUGACAAAAUUACUCAAUAGAAACAAAUACAACUUUUGUUCAAAAAUUGAUUUCAAAGAAUCAACAAUUUCUGGCCGCGCUGUUGUCUUAGGUUAACCGCCCUGCGAAGACCUGCAAAUUGUUUUCCCUCGAUCAAUAGAACCACAUCGUCAGCAUGUGAAAUGACUUGUCCCAUUUUUUCCAGAUAUAUAAAUAUAGUAUUAGCGACUAGCAACAUUAAGUUUUGAAGGAGAGUUAUGAGUGGAUUCGAGUGUGACAUUGUUGUUGUUGUUAAUGACUCUACCAAUCCGAGAAAAGUUGCAAAGGCGAACCAUUCAUUUUUUUCUCGAUUUGAGCUAUGAAAAAAUGUAUCACUGUCUCAACGGAAUUGCCUUUCAUAUAGGCAAGCUGAGUAGUGCUGAUGGCAGUCGAGGUAAUAAAGCUCUGAUUUCAACGUCAAUUAACCUUUCUAUGGUUUUUAUUAGAAAGAAUGAGGAACUACUAGUUCUGAAUGAAGUGAAUGACUUCUUUUGCUAGCUUUUGGGAUGUCAGUCAUGGUGACCUCCCUCCACAGUACUGGAUUUUGCAAUAAAAAAAAUCUCCCCAAUAAUCAUUAAUAUUGCAGCCUAAGCAUGUUGUAGCAUGGUGGCAAUAACACCGUCUGGUCCGGGGUGUUACAGAGCUUGAACGUAUCUGAUACCCACUUGAUUUCGGAGUUGCUUAUAAGUCUGUCAGUCCACGUGCAAACGCCCGCUUAAUACUUUCUAUUGGUAUAGUAUACUUUGAAAUUACUUUUCUGAAUUGACUCAGAUAGCAGACCCAAGAGUUGCACUUGGCCUUCGAGAUCACACUCACUGUUUUAAUAUGCUUCCCAGUUCAUACGUUGUUUGGCCUUGUUGGAUCUAUUGUAAAAUCUUCUGCUAUCCCUCCAUAAAUUGGCUAGAUAUUUGGACCACCAAACUGGUUGCUAAUUUUUGCCUGGGUAGUCGUCAAUAUCUAUGGUUGAGUUUAAGGCCAAAUCAACCCAACGGUGUAGCCCCGAUAUAGCAGAGUCUUAGUCCCAAUGCGACUUCCUUGGCUUCGUAUUGGGUCUUCGUUACGUCCCGUCACUGUCACCGACAACGUCUCUGCACGUCAUAAGUGAGUCGUCCCCGCCCAUGUUCAAAAUGAUAUUCCCAUGUGGUGCGUCAUGACAUUCCCUCUAUAUCAUGUCCCUUCGUAGGUGGAGGUAUUAGAAGGAUCAACAAACUGAAACAUCAAAUGAAGGCAUAAUAACUGAAGUUGAAAGCGAAACAUUUGUUGAAAUAGCCAUAUAGUGGAGAAGCUUCCAAUGAACCGAAAUAAAUAAAAUCUAUUAAUAUGUCAUUAUCACAGUCAUUUGAUAUGAAGGGUACGGGUCUACCAUAGCAACUAUUAUUGAUACAAAAUUGUGAGUCAAAUGAAGUAUUUCUGUCUCAACGUAAGUUCAACGAAUUGGUGCUUGAUAGUUUUAGUAUAUUUUAGUAAUUUAGUAUAUUUUAGUAAUUUUAUAUAGUGCCCGAACACGGAUAUUCAUUACUUUGUACGCAAUUGAAAUAACGAAAUAUCCCUUGAAUAUUUAUCAACCGAUAACAUGUCUUCUGACAAAAUUACUCAAUAGAAACAAAUACAACUUUUGUUCAAAAAUUGAUUUCAAAGAAUCAACAAUUUCUGGCCGCGCUGUUGUCUUAGGUUAACCGCCCUGCGAAGACCUGCAAAUUGUUUUCCCUCGAUCAAUAGAACCACAUCGUCAGCAUGUGAAAUGACUUGUCCCAUUUUUUCCAGAUAUAUAAAUAUAGUAUUAGCGACUAGCAACAUUAAGUUUUGAAGGAGAGUUAUGAGUGGAUUCGAGUGUGACACUGUUGUUGUUGUUAAUGACUCUACCAAUCCGAGAAAAGUUGCAAAGGCGAACCAUUCAUUUUUUUCUCGAUUUGAGCUAUGAAAAAAUGUAUCACUGUCUCAACGGAAUUGCCUUUCAUAUAGGCAAGCUGAGUAGUGCUGAUGGCAGUCGAGGUAAUAAAGCUCUGAUUUCAACGUCAAUUAACCUUUCUAUGGUUUUUAUUAGAAAGAAUGAGGAACUACUAGUUCUGAAUGAAGUGAAUGACUUCUUUUGCUAGCUUUUGGGAUGUCAGUCACGGUGACCUCCCUCCACAGUACUGGAUUUUGCAAUAAAAAAAAUCUCCCCAAUAAUCAUUAAUAUUGCAGCCAAAGCAUGUUGUAGCAUGGUGGCAAUAACACCGUCUGGUCCGGGGGUGUUACAGAGCUUGAACGUAUCUGAUACCCACUUGAUUUCGGAGUUGCUUAUAAGUCUGUCAGUCCACGUGCAAACGCCCGCUUAAUACUUUCUAUUGGUAUAGUAUACUUUGAAAUUACUUUUCUGAAUUGACUCAGAUAGCAGACCCAAGAGUUGCACUUGGCCUUCGAGAUCACACUCACUGUUUUAAUACGCUUCCCA